rnacentral:rRNA from 1 species
AUUGAACGCUGGCGGCAGGCCUAACACAUGCAGUCGAGCGGCAGCGGAAAGUAGCUUGCUACUUUGCCGGCGAGCGGCGGACGGGUGAGUAAUGUCUGGGAAACUGCCUGAUGGAGGGGGAUAACUACUGGAAACGGUAGCUAAUACCGCAUAACGUCGCAAGACCAAAGAGGGGGACCUUCGGGCCUCUUGCCAUCAGAUGUGCCCAGAUGGGAUUAGCUAGUAGGUGGGGUAACGGCUCACCUAGGCGACGAUCCCUAGCUGGUCUGAGAGGAUGACCAGCCACACUGGAACUGAGACACGGUCCAGACUCCUACGGAGGCAGCAGUGGGGAAUAUUGCACAAUGGGCGCAAGCCUGAUGCAGCCAUGCCGCGUGUAUGAAGAAGGCCUUCGGGUUGUAAAGUACUUUCAGCGGGGAGGAAGGUGUUGAGGUUAAUAACCUCAGCAAUUGACGUUACCCGCAGAAGAAGCACCGGCUAACUCCGUGCCAGCCGCCGCAGUAACAC